GCUUUCAAGACACCUACCAACAGUAUCGCAGCAGAUGAGCUAGUUCUGGACAAAGCCAAGAGGCGUGCUGCUAUUAGGAACCUGGAUAACCCGGCAGGGACAUACCCACCAGGUUAUCUACUCAACUACGCACUGGCUCCGUACAUGGGCUAUCCUUCAGAAGUAUACUUUGCAGGACAAGAUUGUAGCGGCCUCUCAUUUCUUGGCACAGGUGGCCAAUGAUUUUUUUUGCCCGGGCACAUGUGUGGCGGUCUAGUCUUCGGAUUGACAGUCAUUAGUGUGGAAGG